CUGCAACAAGGCAAGAUGAAUUUUGUGGAAAAGGGCAGUCUAAUGGAGAUGUGGAGGAAACCUUGUGCUCAGUGUGGAGUGAAAAUUCAUUAUUGUUGUGGAUGAGUCUGAGAGCUCCCCAUCCAAUCUGCUUUUGGGAGAGCACAGAAGGUUCUGCCUGGGCCAGGCCUCACUGCAAGACUGGUAUAAAUUGGAGCAUUUUCAGCAGAAAGCCCCCAGGAUGGUCACGGACUGGAACAUUUAACCCUUGCAGAGGGGCUGAGGUGGACUGGUUCAGUCUGGAGAAGAGAUGUGUUUGGGGGAACCUGGCAGCACCUUUCCAAUUAUUUGGGGAGGUUUUUGAGAAGAGAAAACCAAGCUCUCUACAGUGAGGUGUGUCAGGAGGAUGAGAAGCAACAGGCACAAGUUGAAACAAGAAGAGUUCAGACUGAAUAAAGGGAAAAUCUUUAUCCCUGUGAGAGCAGGCAGCCUUUAGAACAGGUUGCCUGGUGAGGCUGUGCAGUCCCAGCUCCUGCAGGAUUUCAGGAUAUGGCAAAGCUCUGAGCAACCUGGUCUGACCCAGAGCUGACUCUGCUUCAGCAGGAGGUUGGGAUGGAGACUUCCUGAGCUCCUUCCACUCUGAGUGAUGUUUGAUCUCGAGCCUUUGGGAUGGGUUCCUCCUCAGCAUUUCUACUGGAAGUCACCGGCUUUCAUGGAUGAUGCUUUACAGAAAGUGCAGAUCAGCCUCCCCCCUGCUCAGGUCAGACUGUGGGCCCAGUGAAGGGAAUUAGAUGAGAAUCACAUGACAGAACAACGUGCUGAGGACCUGGGUCUGGUGGGAUGCAGAGGAUGGGAACAACUCAGAGCAAAAGAGUAAUUUGGCUUAGCCCAAUCUUAGAGAACACAGUCUUGAAAUUAAGUUUGGACAGAAGCCUGGGCAUAGGCUUGUGGCAUCAAGCUGACAGGUAGAAGACAGAAUCCUCACAAAAAGG